CGGUGAUAUAAUUAAACGGCUGCAGUACUCUGACUGUGCAAAGGUAGCAUGAUCAAUUGUCUGGUAAUUCCAGUCUGGUAUGAAUGGUUAGACGAUAGGAACGCUGUCUUUUUCUCUCUUGAUGAAAUUGACUACCAGGUGCGGAGGCCUGGAUUGGAGACAGGGACGAGAAGACCCUAUAGUUCUCCAACUUUAGCUAUAAAAUCAUUGUUAAGGUGUGUGUUUUAGUUGGGGCAACUAUUCUUAUUAUUAAACAUUUAUAGUAAUCUAGUAAAUUUAAUUUGUGUGGACCCUAAAUUUUUAGGUAGUUAGAAAAAGUUACCUUAGGGAUAACAGCGUAAAAUUUCUCUUGAGAGUUCUUAUUAA
rnacentral:rRNA from 1 species